rnacentral:snRNA from 1 species
AUUGCUUCUUGGCCUUUUGGCUAAGAUCAAAUGUAGUAUCAAUUUGAGCCAAGUGCAAGUAUUACUUAGUCAAAAUCAAAGUUAGUUUUAAAAUACUAAAA